CAUGUUGAUGCUACAACCCAUCUGGGGAAUGGCUUGGCUCGAGUGCCGAUGAAGGUCGUGACAAGCUGCGAUAAGCUACGGGGAGACGCAUGAAUGUCUGCGAUCCGUAGAUUGCCUAAUAGGACCUCCUGACUCUAGCAGUCAAUCGCAUUAGCGAUGGGGAACCCCCUGAAUUGAAGCAUCUUAGUAGGGGGAGGAAAAGAAAUCAAAAGAGAUUCCGUGAGUAGUGGCGAACGAAAACGGAACAGAGCAAACCGAAUCCGGAAUGGAAACUGAAGGAAAUGUGGUGUGUUCGUCUGUAGCCUAAGUUCGGGAAGGAGAAGUCGCCUGGAAUGGCGCAGCCAGAGAGGGUGAAAGUCCCGUAUCCGAAUCGAAUAUGGCCAAGUGACGUAACAAGAGUAGCGUGCGUUGGAUAUCGCGCGUGAAUGUGGGACGCAGAAAGUUCCAACUCUAAAUACAACUCGAGACCGAUAGUUUACAAGUAACGUGAGUGAAAGCUGAAAAGUAUCCUUAGCGGGAUGUGAAAAGAACCUGAAACCAGAUGGGUACAGGCUGAUAAGGCGUGAAAGCGAAGAUAUGAGCAGCGUCUUAUCGUGCGUUUAGAAAAAUGCCCCUGGGAGUCUUGAUCAUUGGCGAGGUUAAGUGGUUGAACCACGAAGCCGAAGGGAAACCGACAAGUCCGCAGCCGCAUUAGCGGUGAGGGACGGGAUGUGCUCGUCCGAAGUCAAUGGUGGAGAACCUGAAGCCCACCGAUCUAUGCCUGGCCAGAUUGAAGCCCGGUGAAAACUGGGUGGAGGAUCGAACCGUUGCUGAUCUGCAAAUCGCUCGGAUGAGCUGGGUAUAGGGGUGAAAGUCCAAUCGAGGUGGGCAAUAGCAGGUUCCGCGCGAAACUACUCGUAGGUAGACGUCCGUGGAGGUGGAAGGCGUUGUAGAGCACUGAUUGUGUGUUUAGGGGGAGCGAUCCCUCGGCAUGCUGCCAAACUCCGAAUAUGCCUUCGCCGUAGAAACGGGCAGUGAGUGAUGGUGGGUAAGCUACCAUUACGCAAGGUGAACAAACCAGCCUAACGUUAAGGUCCCAAAAUUGCGAUCAAGUGUCACAGAUAAACCGAGUCCGUGGUCGAAAACAACCAGAAGGUGGGCUUAGAAGCAGCCAUCCUUGAAAGAGUUCGUAACAGAUCACUGGUCUAGCUUGCGGGCCGGGAAAAGGGACGGGGCUCAAAUCGCAUACCGAUACGUUAGUCCAUCGAAAGAUGAUGAGGUAGCGCGGCGACGUGUAUGGGCGGAAGCAAGGCUUUGAGGUCUUGUGGACCGUAUACGUACGAGAAUCUAGGGAAGAGUAGCAGCACAGAGUGGUGAGAAUCCGCUCCGCCGAAGGGGCCAGGGUUCCUCGGCACUGUUUAUCAGCCGAGGGUUAGCCGGUCCUAAGUUCGUUCUUAACCGAAACGAUCGAAAGGGAAUUGCGUUAAUAUUCGUAAGCCCUCCUACAAUAAUGGUGACAGCUUGGGCUAGUUUACCGCGUCAUAUGUCAGGCGCGCGAAGCGUCUAUAAUUCACAGGAGAACCGUUACGGUGAGAAAGUGAAGAAGUCGUGAGUGAAACAGUAGAUGAGGCCCGGGUUCCAUGAAAAGCCGUAGGAGUGACCGUACCGAGAACUGAAACAGGUGCCCCUAGGUGAGCAGCCUAAGGUGUAUCGGGUACAAAUAUCGCGAGGGAACUCGGCAAAAUAGC
rnacentral:rRNA from 1 species